UGAUUGAUACGUCGUUAUGUUGACACAGAAUGUUUGCACCUGGCAAUAAACAUCUGUCUCCAGUUUGAACGAAACAUUCGGAGUUCGGUUUUGACUGCGAGUGAUGACGGACGUUCCUGCGCUUACUCGCGGUUAAGUUGGACAACUCGUUAAAUGCAGUAUUAGCGGAAGACAUUGAUUAUGAUCGUAUGGAGGUAGUGUCGCGCAAUGAUGUAAAGCGGAAAAGCAUAAGUGAAACCUGUGAUCUGAUUGAACGAACAAACAAAUCAUGCAAGCGUGACGUCCGUUUAAGUAAUUCUUUGAGCGAAGACAUGUCCGGCGACGGACGAGGCCGGGUGGACGAUCAACAACGUGGAAGUGGUUGGAUCACGCUGGUGUUGAUCUCUAGAAGAGGCGGUUUUUUGCAGCGAGAUAUUGAAGACAUCUGUUUGUGAGGGACCAUAAGACGUGUUGACCACGUGCGAGUAUAGUUCUGGUUGUGGGCGAAAGCCGUUAACCAACAAAAAAAAAAAAAAAAAAAAAUGAACGAAACAUUCCUCAGCGCCGAUGUACAAGAAAUAAGCAAUUAUUUUCAAACAAGCUGUGGCACUUUGUACAGCUUGAAACACUAACGGCGUGCAUAAUGACAUUCUAUCCCAAGGUCAUUAGAUACCAGGUCGUCUCAACAGAAGAAAAACGAGUUUGGUCGUUCGGGUGUUUCCGUGAUAUGACGUAUCCGCUAGACCUUCAAAGUAAACAAAACUGUGAAAUUGCGUGCUUGUUUUGAUUUUGUUUUCGUGCUGUGGUUUAGUAAUGUAAAAAUGCCUGCUGUUGAGAAGAAAUUUGUCGCUUCAUUUGUAAGAAUAAGGAAUUUUUUAAGAUUGAAUCAUCUCAAUCGACAGCUAAGUAAAAAACGUGUUGGAAGAAGCAGCAACAAAGUGUGCAAGAAAAUGAAAAAAAUUGUAACAUAAAUAGUAGGCUUAUAGAUUUUUUGAAGGAAGUGUCAUUUAAUUUAGAUUUAGCAAAAAAAAAAUUGUGGGGUGUGUUUGGAGUGAUAGUAAUCUUUUGUAUUUCAUAUGAAAUAAUUUACAUGUAAAUUGCAGUCAUGGAUAAUUUCAGAAUGUGUGUUUGCUACAGAAUUGUUUAACAAAAACUUAUGACUUCGCAAGAUAGAACUUCUAAAACUGUUUGACAGGACUAAAUGUUAUUGGAUGUAUUAUGUUUGUAGGAAAACAAUAAGGCUCCUGAUAUUGCUCAUCGUUCAUUGAAUAAAAGCAUGUUUGAUGUGAACCACA